CGCCGAGCCACGCCCCCCUGCAGCCACGCCCCCUUCGCUUCCGCCUCUCAGCCAACCACGCCCCUCAGCCGCCGUCUCGCUGUCACGUGGCCGCGCUGCCCCGUCGCGCCGUAACCAUGGCGACGGCGGUACACACGCGGCGGGCGCAGGCCGUGGCACGGCGGCCGCAGUGAGGGCUAUAGAAGCCGCCCAGCCCGCCGUGCUGCCGUCCCGAGGCCAUGCGGCCUGAAAAACCCUCGUGGGGCCUGGGCUGCCGGGUUUUUUUAUUGUUGGCUUUCUUUCUUUUUGUGAUUUGUUGAGUUUCAUCUUGUUUUAUGUAGGAGGUGUACUUAGUCUUGAGCGAGAAGGGGCUUGUUCCUACCCAGAGCAACGUCCCUGCAGCUGUCCUCAUACCCCCCUCCCCUGGCCUUGCUGGUAGUUAAGCAACUAUGGAAGAAGCCGAAGCAGAAGGAGGAGGAAGACACAAUCCCUGCCCCCUAAAACCUACCGUUCUGCUACAGAAACAGCCGUGUGUCACAGCCCCAGCCGAUGCACACCAUGCACUGUCACAGCCGUCACGCACACACAGCCUUCUCAGAAGCUGCCUCGUGCUUCUGUUGAGGCAAAGAGGUGCUGUGCUCGUGCCUUGGAAUCCGUACACCACAUCAAUAGCGAAAGGCAAACAACACGCCAAGGAGCUGAAUAGACACAGGUUAUCUUGUUCGCUGCAACCGCUUGCAAACGGCGAAGGCGGCCCUGCAGAAGUCGAGUGCCUUGCCCUGUUUCUAUCAUCGGGCCUCCUCUUGGGUUGCCUGCUUCCUACGAGACCUGGUUCCCAGACAGGUUCUGAAAGAACAACGCCCUGAAGCAAGAGAUUACCAGACAGCUUGGCUGCAUUUCAUCCUGAGCCACGGGGGCUUCAAGCAGAGCUCCCCGAGCUCCUUACCACAAUACACACUGCUCCUCCAGCAGCAAGCAGAGAAAGCAGAAGCUGUCGCGGUGCAUUAACUGGUAGAAAGAAUAUGCUUAGAUAUGCCUGACAUCCCACUUGCAGAGUCCAAUGUCAUCCUUCGAACCACUUCCUCCUCGUCAGCAGCUUCCUGUGUGAUUUCCGGCCUUGUUGUGUAAGGGCAGCGCAAAUGAAAGGAUUCCUCGUUUACAGAAAGCCAUUUUCUGUCCUCAGCAGCUUCUCCUUCAACUCUACUUACAAAAUCCCGUUUAAAAGCAGUUUCCUAACAGGUUGGUUAACAUAGGAACAUAAAACCUCACUGUUUCUGUUACAAAAGGUGUUGUCUGAGAAAGAGUACAGCAGGGUUUCUAUUGCACGCACAUGAGUUAGUUUUUCACUUAAAUCACUCGGGGAUCUUAAUAGCUACAAAUGUCUCGGGCUUUAUUUCCUGAAGAAAUUAAUUUCCUUUCCAUCCCCAUCCAAAACCCACUCUGAAGAGCAAAUGUAUUCCGAGUAAUUUGCAUGCACCGUGCACCAUUCCUACUAUGGUGAGGAUAUCGCUCCCUCCCACGGACACUAAAGCUGCUUACUCAGUGCUGAAGGCCAAACUCUAAUAAUGCUUUGAUGGAUCCUAAACUGAGGUAAGUUGGCAUCUCCCGGCAGCUCCAGAAACUGAGCUUCGGCAGAAAUAUAACCUCCUUUGUACACAAUUAGAUUCUUUUAGUCUCACUUAAACUGCCACCCACCUUCUAUUGUGUGCUAUAAACCUUCCAAACAGCCUGAACUUUCCUCUUUUUUUUUUAUUAAUAUGUAAAUUAAAUCAGUUUACCUUCCUGCUAGUCAUCUUCAUCUGGGUACAAAUUAAUCUAAGGAGAACCCAGCUGAGACAAAGGCAGGCUGCUUAUCCUCCACCAUAUCCUCCUGCUUUUUUUCCACAUCUAGUUGGCUUGUCUGCUUAGAGUCAAGCCCAUUUACUCCACCUCUUUUGUUGUUAAGAACACUGUCAAUGAACUAAACCCAAGGAGCUGUGCAGCACAGACGAAAUGCAAGGCUCGUGAAGACCAAACACAUUCGUUGCUCCUGACCAACAGCGCUUCCUGUGAUAAGAAUAGUUUCUGCUUACCACAAGCAGUCACGAACUUAUGCACAAAUUCCACUUUCUGAGAACUAAAUCAGUGUGCCUCAGGCUGACCUUCAUGUGAAUCUGGGCAGGUUUGGUUCACACGGCUCGGCAAAAAACAAUCUCAGCUCCUGGAGUUCGUCCACAGGUCUGCACUCAUUCACCCCAGGCUUUUCAGCUCUGGCAGGCAGCUCGCCACAUUUCACCCACAACAGUUCUGAUAAAUCCACCUUUGGUGUAAUUUCCACCUGCAGCCUUUAAGCACCUUGCAUUAAUUCUGCGCUUGAGGUUGAACACAGAAGGUGGACUUCAGGUUUAUUGUAGAAUGCUGGUAUGACUCCAAGGAACCUGUUUCGGUAGCAACAAGCUGAAUUCAGCAGCAGUUUCUGUUUUACACAGGUUGUUUUCCUAGAUCGUUGACAUCACCCCGCCUGCCUGGGCUCCUCUGCUGUGAUGACAUCCUCACCGUGUGACCCCCUUGCCUUUGAGAGCUGUGGCUUUCCAGAAUCAUGAUUUUGGUUAGCAUACCUGAGCCACAGAUACACAGCAGCAAAUGAUGAACAUAAGAGCUCUCCAAGUCCCAGUUGUAACAGUGGAGCUGAUGUCUGCAGUCCUCAGUUAUCUAAUUACCCUUUGUGGCUUCAGUAAAACGAAGACAGUGCUACUUGGGAUCUUCCCAAGCCCCCCAGGACUCGGUUGGUUAGCAUAUGUGAAAGGUUAGGAUUUGUAUGACGCUUUCUGAACAGCAGAUGCAUUUGGAUUUCCCAGUGGCUUGCACCUUCUUCAUUGCUUUCAGCCAAAAGUAAUCAGCAUAUCACAUGCAAAGCAGUAUCUAGUAUCUUUGCACUUCUCGUUUUAUACUUGGCGAGGUCGUACGAGACUUUCACGGCUUUGACUCCUGCCCUCAUGCAGCUGGGAUGGCCACUGGCAACCUCAGUGCUUGGACCGAGCUGGAGCUGCAGUUCCAGGAAUGUGGCCUGACCCAGUCCCCUGUGAUGGAGCUGGGAUUGCUCCAACUCCUCAGUGGAGCUUCACUGACUUGCAGUGACCAGUGCCUGGCCAUCUCCUUCCUGCCUUUGAUUUUGGUUUGUUCACAGACCAUGGUGGAACCAAGGAGGGACGUCAACCUCAAGAUACACUUGGCAAGCUGACAUGGCCAGAGCUACUGGAAAAACACCAGCACAGACAGCCAUUUCCCCAUGAUCCCCAGAUAUUUACAACCUUCCAGUUCUACUGAGCAGGUUGCUUUGCAAUUGACAACAGAAAGAAAGGUGGCUUCAAGACAGAGAGAUUCCUACGCACCAGAGAUUAUUCCACAGACCAGAGGCACCUCUCCAUUUAAUGCAGCCCAACAGAAGGUAACACACCUGGUCUUCACCAAGACAGCCCAUUGAUAAGAAAAUGAAAACCACACUGGCCUUCCAUGCCUUCACGGUGGAUACCAAGGAAGCCAAGCCUAGCACAGACAGAGCAAAAGAGAGAGGCCAUGGUCUUCAGGCUGACAAGGGCUGCAGAAGCUUGCAAUCAUCUCAAAACCUGAGACUGCUAUCAGGAGCUGAGGCUCUUCAAGUAAAUUCCAUGAAGGGACCUGGAACUCCAGCAUGCAGAGCCAGGACUGGCAGCAGCGGGGAGAGCUCAGUCAUACACCACUCAUCAGCUCUAAGCUGAGGGAAUCACCACGAGGGAAAGAGGAGAGGCAAAGGAAAUAAAUCAUCUGAUAUCCUGUCAGCAAACUGCCAUCAGUGCUUUGAGACUGGAGGCGUUUCUCCUACCCCAGAAGAGCAUUGAAAAAAAAAAGUCUAGCUGAUAACUUGGACAGGGUUCAGGUAUGUUUGUGUGCAUACCAGCAGUUAAACUGAUUUCUUCCACUAUCUUAUCUGUCCAUUUCUGGCUUUGAAGGGGAAGAAGUUUGGCAGGCGAGUUGCUCUUGGAAUGCACUCAGUAAACCAUGGACAGGAGAACCAAGGAGCAUAAAUAGAAGUAGCCAUAGGUGUAGCAGCUGGGAGCCUGACUUCUGGCUUCUAUUCCGAGCUCUACUCAUGACUCACUUGACAACCUUGGAAAGCCACUUCACCUCUCCCUGCUCCAGCAUUCUCACAGGCACAGCUCACCCAUUUCACAGGUACCCCAGGCAGAGGAACCCCACUGCUUCCAGCUGGGUAAGCAAUUCUGGAGGAAGGACCUCAUCCCUCUUCCUCUGUUAGCCCCAGGCCAUUCAGCCCCACAGGUCAGGGCACCUGGAGGGGAACUGGCAACUUGAACCAAGUGCAUCUCGUGAAGCUUUUUGGGAUCCAUCAAGGAAAGGAAAAGCACUUUAACAAGAUGUUGCUAAUUAUAGCUUGACAGCACAUAACACAUUCCUGCUCUGGACAGAGCUCUGCUAUCAGCCAACUCAAUUAUACAUUAUCUUUGCCCAAUUCCCUCC
rnacentral:lncRNA from 1 species